GACGAACGCUGGCGGCGUACCUAAUACAUGCAAGUUGAGCGCUGAAGGUUGGUACUUGUACCAACUGGAUGAGCAGCGAACGGGUGAGUAACGCGUGGGGAAUCUGCCUUUGAGCGGGGGACAACAUUUGGAAACGAAUGCUAAUACCGCAUAAAAACUUUAAACAAAAGUUUUAAGUUUGAAAGAUGCAAUUGCAUCACUCAAAGAUGAUCCCGCGUUGUAUUAGCUAGUUGGUGAGGUAAAGGCUCACCAAGGCGAUGAUACAUAGCCGACCUGAGAGGGUGAUCGGCCACAUUGGGACUGAGACACGGCCCAAACUCCUACGGGAGGCAGCAGUAGGGAAUCUUCGGCAAUGGACGAAAGUCUGACCGAGCAACGCCGCGUGAGUGAAGAAGGUUUUCGGAUCGUAAAACUCUGUUGGUAGAGAAGAACGUUGGUGAGAGUGGAAAGCUCAUCAAGUGACGGUAACUACCCAGAAAGGGACGGCUAACUACGUG
rnacentral:rRNA from 1 species